rnacentral:rRNA from 1 species
UACGUAGGGGCAAGCGUUGUCCGGAAUCAUUGGGCGUAAAGCGCGUGUAGGCGGCCCGGUAAGUCCGCUGUGAAAGUCAGGGGCUCAACCCUCGAAUGCCGGUGGAUACUGUCGGGCUAGAGUGCGGAAGAGGCGAGUGGAAUUCCUGGUGUAGCGGUGAAAUGCGCAGAUAUCAGGAGGAACACCAAUUGCGAAGGCAGCUCGCUGGGACGUGACUGACGCUGAGACGCGAAAGCGUGGGGAGCAAACAGG